AUACCUUUCUCGGCCUUUUGGCUAAGAUCAAGUGUAGUAUCUGUUCUUAUCAGUUUAAUAUCUGAUACGUGGGCGAAUGGCUCGCAUGAUAUUAAAUUAAUUUAUUUAGGAGGAGGUUCCACCAUAAUAGCUUGCUAUUGGGGCUCUCAAGUGUCGCCCAAGCAUUGCAACAUUGCAUGGGCUUGGCACACUCCAC
rnacentral:snRNA from 2 species